GUGGGGAAUCUUAGACAAUGGGGGCAACCCUGAUCUAGCCAUGCCGCGUGAGUGAUGAAGGCCUUAGGGUCGUAAAGCUCUUUCGCUGGGGAAGAUAAUGACGGUACCCAGUAAAGAAACCCCGGCUAACUCCGUGCCAGCAGCCGCGGUAAUACGGAGGGGGUUAGCGUUGUUCGGAAUUACUGGGCGUAAAGCGCGCGUAGGCGGAUUGGAAAGUUGGGGGUGAAAUCCCGGGGCUCAACCCUGGAAUGGCCUUCAAAACUCCCAGUCUUGAGGUCGAGAGAGGUGAGUGGAAUUCCGAGUGUAGAGGUGAAAUUCGUAGAUAUUCGGAGGAACACCAGUGGCGAAGGCGGCUCACUGGUCCAUUACUGACGCUGAGGUGCGAAAGCGUGGGGAGCAAACAGGAUUAGAUACCCCAGUAGUCC
rnacentral:rRNA from 1 species